AACGAACGCUGGCGGCAGGCCUAACACAUGCAAGUCGAACGCUCCGCAAGGGAGUGGCGCACGGGUGAGUAACACGUGGGAACCUACCUUCUGGUACGGAACAACCAAGGGAAACUUUGGCUAAGACCGUAUACGACCUCCGGGUGAAAGAUUGAUCGCCGGAAGAGGGGCCCGCGUCCGAUUAGGUAGUUGGUGAGGUAACGGCUCACCAAGCCUUCGAUCGGUAGCUGGUCUGAGAGGAUGACCAGCCACACUGGGACUGAGACACGGCCCAGACUCCUACGGGAGGCAGCAGUGGGGAAGUAUUGGACAAUGGGCGCAAGCCUGAUCCAGCCAUGCCGCGUGAGUGAUGAA
rnacentral:rRNA from 1 species